rnacentral:rRNA from 1 species
UACGUAGGUGGCAAGCGUUGUCCGGAAUUAUUGGGCGUAAAGCGCGCGCAGGCGGUCCUUUAAGUCUGAUGUGAAAGCCCACGGCUCAACCGUGGAGGGUCAUUGGAAACUGGGGGACUUGGGUGCAGGAGAGAAGAGUGGAAUUCCUAGUGUAGAGGUGAAAUUCGUAGAUAUUAGGAAGAACACCAGUGGCGAAGGCGGCUCACUGGUCCGGUACUGACGCUGAGGCGCGAAAGCGUGGGGAGCAAACAGG